UACGUAGGGUGCAAGCGUUGUCCGGAAUUAUUGGGCGUAAAGAGCUCGUAGGCGGUUUGUCGCGUCGGCUGUGAAAACCUGGGCUCAACCCCGGGCCUGCAGCCGAUACGGGCAAACUAGAAUUCGGUAGGGGAGACUGGAAUUCCUGGUGUAGCGGUGAAAUGCGCAGAUAUCAGGAGGAACACCGGUGGCGAAGGCGGGUCUCUGGGCCGAUAUUGACGCUGAGGAGCGAAAGCGUGGGGAGCAAACAGG
rnacentral:rRNA from 1 species